rnacentral:rRNA from 1 species
CCUACGUGAGGCAGCAGUGGGGAAUAUUGCGCAAUGGGCGAAAGCCUGACGCAGCGACGCCGCGUGAGGGAUGAAGGUCUUCGGAUCGUAAACCUCUGUCAGCAGGGCAGAACGGUCACUGUGCUAAUCAGCAGUGAAUUGACGGUACCUGCAAAGGAAGCACCGGCUAACUCCGUGCCAGCAGCCGCGGUAAUACGGAGGGUGCGAGCGUUAAUCGGAAUUACUGGGCGUAAAGCGCUCGUAGGCGGUAUGUCAAGUCAAGGGUGAAAUCCCCGCGCUCAACGUGGGAACUGCCUGUGAAACUGGCAAACUGGAGUGUGUGAGAGGAUAGUGGAAUUCGAGGUGUAGGAGUGAAAUCCGUAGAUAUCUGGAGGAACAUCAGUGGCGAAGGCGACUAUCUGGCACAUAACUGACGCUGAGGAGCGAAAGCGUGGGUAGCAAACAGGAUUAGAUACCCGUGUAGUC